AGCAGCCGCGGUAAUUCCAGCUCCAAUAGCGUAUAUUAAAGUUGUUGCAGUUAAAAAGCUCGUAGUUGAAUUUCGGGAUCAAUACGUCGGUCGUGCCUCGGUACGUACUAACGUUAUUGAUUUCUCCCUUCUAACAAAUCGUGAUGUCAUUAAUUUGGUGUUACGAGGAGUUAGGACUGUUACCUUGAAAAAAUUAGAGUGUUUAAAGCAGGCAAUCGCUCGAAUACAUUAGCAUGGAAUAAUGAAAUAGGACGUUCGAACCUAUUUUGUUGGUUUCUAGGAUCGACGUAAUGAUUAAUAGGGAUAGUUGGGGGCAUUAGUAUUCAAUUGUCAGAGGUGAAAUUCUUGGAUUUAUUGAAGACUAACUACUGCGAAAGCAUUAGCCAAGGAUGUUUUCAUUAAUCAAGAACGAAAGUUAGGGGAUCGAAGACGAUCAGAUACCGUCGUAGUCUUAACCAUAAACUAUGCCGACUAGGGAUCGGAUGAUGUUAAUUUUUUAAUGACUCAUUCGGCGUCUUACG
rnacentral:rRNA from 1 species